UGCCCGGCGCGCGGGUUGGAGGCUCGUCCAGCAGAGGCAGGAGGAAGUAGCUUUCCCAGGCUGUGGCAUGGCUUAGGGGAAUAUGUUCUAUAAGAACCCCCCGCUCUUCCUAGGAUACGCACUGGGGUCCUAUGUUCUGCAAAGGCCAAAGGAGUCAAAGAAACUUCGAGUACUUCCCACUUGGAGGCAUGGAGAAGUGGAAGCCUUCCCCACGCGCACAGGCCCGGUUGGUGCCGUCACUGGGGAGAGGUGUGUGGGCAGCGGCAGGAGGGACGCCCACUGCGAACUGUUUCGUCUUCUGACACGAAAAUCCAUCUUUCCUCUACAUAUCAAUGGACUCUUCACUGCUAGUAAAGAUUUCUGUUCCCCAGCUCGGUCAAGUCCCCCGCCACCAAAGUCAACUGAGUGUUGAGGCAAAGAGUCAAACUUCCAGCAGCUGGAGGACUGCGGCACUGAUCUUUUUUUGGGGGGAUGCCCUUCAAACCUCCACCAGCUCCUCGGGUUGUUGCAUCACACUGAUGUCUCAUCCUCAACAAAGGACCACUUAAAAAUUAGAUUCAAUCUUAACAAAUAUGACAACAUUGCAUUUGGUGAUAGCACUGAUAGAACUUAAGGAACUGAAAUAUGAAACAGUAUAAUUUGACACUCUUUUAUAAGAGGACUGUGUUUGUAACCUAUGGCGCACAAUGGAAAUAUUCGGAAGACUGUGCGCAGGAAGGGCAAAGAUGCUAACACAUAGAAACAACUGCACGGCUGGAGAAGGAAAGACCAGCCACACCCUCACUGAGGAGGGAGAAGAAUCUGGGUAUGGGGGGUAGGGGGGAGAGGAAUAGUAAAGCAUUUUUAAAAAGCUGCAGUCUCUCAAAGUGGGGACCACUAGUUUCCUUGCUACUUCCAAAGAGAAUGUAUCAGUCUGACAACUAAUCUGAAAUCCUAAGGGACGCCAACAAUCACAAAGUAACUGUUACAGGAAAUUCUGCCAUGGGUUCCCACCAGCAGAGCACGUGUAACACGCAGAAUGGUGGCAGAAAUGGUGUGGGUGCAGGGCUGAGUGGGGGGAGGGCAGGGAAAGUUCUUGAAUGUUUGUUAAGUACACUGAAGAACCACCCACUCCAGUUCUCCUCAGCUUGACUUUUUGAUUUCUUCUUUUUAAUUUCACUUUCUUGCCCAGUGAGCAAAUGAUUACAAAUGUCAGUUACUUUACUACGUGCCUUAUGAAUAGGACGGAUUUUUUAAAAAAAUGUUUUCAGGUUUACUUGAAGGCUAUUGAAUUGCCCUUUAAGAUCCUUGGAGAGUUAAUUGAUAAAGACACCAUGUUCUGAUAACUAAAGGCUUAUAAUACAAAGAUCAUUCUGAUUCCAAUGAAACUGAGUCCUCAAAGCACAGAUUAUUACAAAUGGCAUCUAGAAAAUCCCCACUAAACUGUAUCAUAAAAACAAGCUUAAGCUCUCUAAUUAAAACCGUAUGAGAAAUGUUUUUUGUUUUUUUUUUUAACUACAGGAAAGUUAUUUGCAAAGAAAUUUGAGAGGUGAUUGGGGGUAGUGGUAAUACAAAUUCAUUUUGAAACCGAAAAAACUCUUAUGUAAUGUCUGUGAUCAAAGGUCAACGUCUUUCGACAUUCUCAAUGAGUCUGAUCUGGAUAAAAAUCAACUGAAAUACAACUUAGGAAAAUAACAGGAUAUCAGACAAUGUGUUAAUCCUGUGAAAUACUGGCACACCUCACAAAACCCAAAAAUGCAUAUUAAAGGAGCUUCAAUUACAUUGUUUCUGUCAUAGUUUGAAUCGAAUCCCAAGUGUGCUCUCAUUCCCUCAAUACAAAUUAAAAAUAAACAACUUCUCACAGCAUCAGUGCCAUCUGGAUUACAAUGGAAAUAAUGAAGUAUGUGUGAUUUUAGCUCGGGUAAAAAUAAAGCCGAGGCAACAUGACUGCACCUUUUCCAUGCCAUGCGGCAAUCACAUUCACUUGGUGGAGCUGACUGCGGACCAAGGCAAGGUCAACUAGAAAUAUCCACUCCGUGGGUGAGUCAGGCAGUUGCUCAACACGGGAAAGCGCUCUAACAAAGGGUUUUUAAUUUUCAGGUUGUUGCAUCACACUGAUGUUAUAAUUGCACUUCGCAAAGAUAAGCCUUUAACACAGAAAAGGAAAUUGUUUCAAAGACGCCAGUGAGCUAGCAUUCACACUCUGGGGAGGGCGAGAGAUGGGGGGAUGUUAUUAGCACAGCUCCCCCUCCCGUUUUCAGGCUGGUGGUCUGGGCUGCUAAUCCAUCUGUCUGUGCCUCUACUCCCGCACCUGUAGAAUGGGGAUGGUGAGAGAAGGCAGCACAGAGUCAGGCACAAGGAGGCUAAGGGGCUAGAAUCAGCUCUUCAUUUCAUUUCUGAAGAAUGAGCAGCACCAAGGCAAUGCCGAUGACGAGUGCCUGGGCUUUUGAGCCUCUCGCGAUUCUUAAGGAAGCCCUGCCCUGUGCGGCAGGUAGAAGGCUCAACCAGAUGAAAUCUUGUGUAUUAAUCAAAAAGAUCAAACAUCAGCAGUUUCACAGGACACGGCCUUAGUUGUCAAGCACACAGGCUGUGCACACUCCUUCCCAGAGGGCCCCUCGGUGGGGUCUAACCCGCCUCGGCUGGGCUCGGACCACAGAUGUGUAGAGAUGUGGAUGAUCAGACCAAGGAGAGCCGUCACAGAGAAGUCAAAGGAACUGGGAAAAGCCAGGGCUGUGUGGCACUUGUUACAUCAUUCCUGCCACCACCGACUCACCUCUGUGUUCCUACCCACGCUUCCCCCAAACAUUAACCCAGUGAUUUCAGAGGCUCCGCAACACUGUCAAGAAUUCACUUCAAACUUAAAUUACCACUGAACGCAAUGGCACACAGUUUUGAGAGAGGAAAAAAAAAAGUAAUCAUUAUUAGAACAAAAAUGUAUCCCAAGAAGGAUCUUUAAUUAUAUAGGCUUAACUCAAACUUCAGUCCUUACUAUUAUUGGACGGAGAUUUAGGCAGAGAAAAAUGAAGGUGACUGCCUUUAUUAAAAAAAAAAAAAAUCUGGUUCCUGGUGAAUUAUAUGGGAACGGUUUACUGAGCUCCUCAAAACUACCCAGCUCGACGGGUCAUAUUCUCUCAGUUUACUCUGGACACCAGCAGAGAUCACAGCAGCUCCCAAAAUCACAGGCUGGGGCCUUGGGGCCCAGCUCUUCUGAGCCUGAACUCUUAGCACUCCGCCAGAGCUGGUCCCUAACUACAGACAGUGGCCUGCAGCUCAAGAGAGAAACUGAUUGAGGGGCACGGAUGUAGGAUGUGAUCCCACAGAAACCAACUUUUCAACAAAGCAGACUGCCAGAGAGCACCUGUGAUGUCGCCCUGAAUUCACUGCAAACCAGUUGCUGAGCACACUCUCAGAAGUCUUUAUGCCAGGAUGAAAGUACUGUAGUCUUACAGUAGGACAGCGGCGUCUACGUGGGCGUUUUGAUUUUUGUUUUAUUUUGAACUCGGGGAAUUCAAGUUCUUUCUACUCUAGCCUUUGACCGCAUGAAGUAAAGGUAUAUAAAAAAAGAAAAAGAGGAAAGGAAAGGAAGAAAGGAAGGAAGGAAGGAAGGAAGGAAGGAAGGAAGGAAGGAAGAAAAAGAAAGGAAAGAAAGAAAAGAAAAAGAGAGAAAGAAAGAAAGGAAAGAAAGAGAAAGAAAGAAGGAAAGAAGGAAAGAAAGAAAGAAAGAAAGAAGAAAGAAAGAAAAAGAAAGGAAAGAAAGAAAAGAAAAAGAGAGAAAGAAAGAAAGGAAAGAAAGAGAAAGAAAGAAGGAAAGAAGGAAAGAAAGAAA